rnacentral:rRNA from 1 species
UACGAGGGGGGCUAGCGUUGCUCGGAAUCACUGGGCGUAAAGCGCACGUAGGCGGCUUUUUAAGUCAGGGGUGAAAUCCUGGAGCUCAACUCCAGAACUGCCUUUGAUACUGAGAAGCUGGAGUCCGGGAGAGGUGAGUGGAACUGCGAGUGUAGAGGUGAAAUUCGUAGAUAUUCGCAAGAACACCAGUGGCGAAGGCGGCUCACUGGCCCGGUACUGACGCUGAGGUGCGAAAGCGUGGGGAGCAAACAGG